GCCUCUGUGGUCUAAUGGUUAUGACGCUCGCCUUCCCAGCGAGAGGUUGCAGGUUCGAAUCCCAUCAGAGGAA